rnacentral:rRNA from 1 species
GUAGGGAAUAUUGCACAAUGGGGGAAACCCUGAUGCAGCGACGCCGCGUGAGUGAUGAAGGCCUUCGGGUCGUAAAGCUCUGUCGUAUGGGACUAACACAAUGAAGGUACCAUGCAAGAAAGGAUCGGCUAACUUCGUGCCAGCAGCCGCGGUAAGACGAGGGAUCCUAGCGUUGUUCGGAAUCAUUGGGCGUAAAGCGGGUGUAGGCGGAUUUAUAAGUCAGGUGUGAAAUCCCAGGGCUCAACCCUGGAAGUGCACUUGAUACUGUAAAUCUUGAGUGUGGUAGAGGUUACUGGAAUUGUUGGUGUAGUGGUGAAAUACGUAGAUAUCAACAGGAAUACCGGAGGCGAAGGCGAGUAACUGGGCCAACACUGACGCUGAGACCCGAAAGCGUGGGGAUCAAACAGGAUUAGAAACCCCAGUAGUCC